UACGGAAGGCAGCAGGGGGAAUAUUGCACAAUGGGCGCAAGCCUGAUGCAGCCAUGCCGCGUGUAUGAAAAAGGCCUUCGGGUCGUAAAGUACUUUCAGUCGUGAGGAAGGUGUUAAGGUUAAUAACCUUAGCAAUUGACGUUAGCGACAGAAGAAGCACCGGCUAACUCCGUGCCAGCAGCCGCGGUAAUACGGAGGGUGCGAGCGUUAAUCGGAAUUACUGGGCGUAAAGGGCACGCAGGCGGUUAAUUAAGUUGGAUGUGAAAUCCCCGGGCUUAACCUGGGAAUGGCAUUCAAGACUGGUUAGCUAGAGUCUUGUAGAGGGGGUUAGAAUUCCAUGUGUAGCGGUGAAAUGCGUAGAGAUGUGGAGGAAUACCGGUGGCGAAGGCGGCCCCUGGACAAAGACUGACGCUCAUGUGCGAAAGCGUGGGGAGCAAACAGGGA
rnacentral:rRNA from 1 species